rnacentral:rRNA from 1 species
ACGUAGGGGGCAAGCGUUGUCCGGAAUUAUUGGGCGUAAAGGGCGCGUAGGCGGUUUCUUAAGUCUGAUGUGAAAGCCCACAGCUUAACUGUGGAGGGUCAUUGGAAACUGGGGAACUUGAGUGCAGAAGAGGAGAGUGGAAUUCCACGUGUAGCGGUGAAAUGCGUAGAUAUGUGGAGGAACACCAGUGGCGAAGGCGACUCUCUGGUCUGUAACUGACGCUGAGGCGCGAAAGCGUGGGGAGCGAACAGGA